AGUGAACGCUGGCGGCAUGCUUUACACAUGCAAGUCGAACGGCAGCACGGUCAUCGCUUUCUCUUCCGGGUGCGGACUGGUGGGUGGUUCAGCAAAACAUCCCCAUUUAUUUUUUCGAGCGGGAUAACGUACGGAUUCUUACCCCAUUAGACCUUAGGGUCUACGCGUGGGAGCAGAAGGCCUUCCGCUCUUGCACCGUUCGAUGUCGGAUUAGCUAGUUGGUGGGGUAAAGGCUUACCAAGGCGACGAUCCGUAGCUGGUCUGAGAGGAUGACCAGCCACACUGGAACUGAGACACGGUCCAGACUCCUACGGGAGGCAGCAGUGGGGAAUAUUGGACAAUGGGCGCAAGCCUGAUCCAGCCAUGCCGCGUGAGGGAAGAAGGCCUUCGGGUUGUAAAGCGCUUUUGUUGGGGAAGAAAAGCAGCGGGCUAAUACCCCGCGGUUAUGACGGUACCGAAAGAAUAAGCACCGGCUAACUUCGUG
rnacentral:rRNA from 1 species